CUGUCAAUUGAUGACUACCUGGUGGUGAGUUCGCUCUGAUGGUGGGGGAAGAUGCCUGUCCGAUGUGGCAGGCCCAAGCGUAUUGUGAGGGUCUGCUGGGAACAGUGUGCAAAUUUCCCUGUCAGAAGGCGUUUCAACUCCCACCUCCGAAAAAAUGUCCGGGGGAAGCAGGGGACAGGAUGUUGAUCCGUGCCUCCAGGCUGAGGCAGCCGACCGAAGCUGUGGCUGUAAGGCGGUCAGUACCUUUCGUGGUGGCAACCCCCAAACACAUUGGUGGACACCAACAGUGAGGGAUCACAUCAAGCUGUGGAAGGAGUCCUAUCAGGUCUUUUUGGCCUGUGGAACUCCUAAGGCAGCUGAUAGGUACUAGCUGGCCAGGCGGAAUGCAGCUUUAGUGUUCGGUGAGGCAGAAAACUGCCCAUGGGAGGAGUUCAGUAAGGCCAUGGAGAACGAUUUCAAGAUGGCCUUGAGGAAAUUCUGGUCCACCAACCGGCAUCUCAGGAGGGGGAAGCAGUGCACCGUCAACACUGUGUAUAGUGAGGAUGGGGCCCGGCUGAUCUUAACUGUUGUGAGAUGGUGGGGAGUAUACCUCAAAGACCUCUUCAAUUCAACCAACACGCCUUCCCAUGAAGAGGCAGAGUCUGGGUUCUCUGAGUUCGGCUCUCCUAUCACUGCAGGUGAGGUCACCAAGGUGGUUAAAAAGCCCCUCGAUGGUAGGAACCUGGGGUGUAGAUGAGAUUCGCCCGGAGUUCCUAAGAACUCUAGUUCUAGUGGGGCUGUCCAGGUUGGCACAUUUUUGCAACAUCGUGUGGACAUCAGGGGUAGUACCUCAGGAUUGGCGACUAGGGUGGUGGUCCCCCUUUUAAAGAAGUGGGGCUGGAGGGUGUAUUUCAACCCCAGGGGGAUCACACUCCUCAGCCUUCCUGGUAAGGUGUAUUUGGGGGUGCUGGGGAUGACGGUCCGUUGGCAGGUUAAAAUACAGAUUCAGAAGGAGCAAUGUGGUUUUCAUCCUGGCCAUGGAACAGUGGACCAGCUCUACACCCUCAGCAGGGUGCAUGGGAGUUCUUCCAACCAGUCUACAUGUGUUUUGUAGACUUGGAAAAGGCGUUGGACAGUGUCUAUUGGGGAGUGUAGUGGGGGGUCUAUCGGUAGUAUGGGAUAUUGAACCCCUUGAUUCGUGAUUUUUGGUCCCUGUACAAUCUGGGUAAGAGUUGUGCACCUUGCUGGCAGUAAGUCAGACUUGUUUCCAAUGAGAGCUGGUCUCCACCAAGGCUUCCCUUUGUCACCGAGUUUGCUCAGAACUUUUAUGAACAGAAUAUCGAGGCACAGCCGCGCUGUAAAGGGAAGUCAGAUUGGUCGCAUGCUCUUUGCAGAUGAUGUGGUUAUGUUGGGGUCAUCUAGCCGUGAUCUCUAACUCUCACUGGAGCGGUUUACAGCCAAGUAUGAAGUGGCUAAGAUGACAUUCAGGACCUCCAAAUCUGUGACCAUGUUCCUCAAUUACAGCCAGAUGAGGUGGCUGGUACAUCUUAUCGGGAGUUCUCCUGGACGCCUCCCUGGUGAGGUCUUUCAGGCAUGUCCCACCGAAAAGAGACUCCGGGCAUAACCCCGGACAUGCUGGAGAGAUUAUGUAUCUCGGAUGGCCUGGGAACACCUCGGGAACCCUCCUGAAGAGCUGGAAGAAGUGGCUGGGGAAAGAUAAGUCUGGUAUCCUUUCCACAGCACCCAUGACCUAACCCUGAAAAGCGGUAGAGGACAGACGGACGGACUGUUGUCUGUUUCCAUGAGCCCUGUUAUUGGCUGGAAUCCAGUUCAGGGUGUACACUCCCUUCUACCCAAUCAGAGCUGGGAUUGGCAACCGCAAUCCCGCGACCCUCAUGAGAAUAAGCAGCUCAGAAAAUGGAUGGAUGGAUGAAUGGAUAGGUAGAUGGUUGGAAAUGGAAUUCAAUGCCAAUAUUUGAUUAUUUAAAGAUGUGCAGUAAAUUUAUUUGUUUCUCGAGGUCACCAUCGACACAUUUCUACAAAGGAAAAUGACAACUGAAAAACCUAUGCAACCUAUGCUUAGAACAGAUGCUUCAUUGUUUUAAACAUUUGGAUCAUUCUUCACAGUGAUGGUUCUGUCAAUGUUAUGAUUGAAAAGACUUAUGGGAACCCAGGUUUAUUUGUGGUGAUAUUAAUUCAGCAUUCCCUCAAUCCAUGGUCUCAAUAUUACGUGGAUUUUUUUCUGUGUGUAAUUUUUUACAGUGUAGCAGGUGUGGAGUUUACAUCACCAAGUAACGCAAGCUAGACGACAUUAUGUUUCUAACAGGGUUUAUUGAAGAUACGACAUAGAGGACAUCUAGCACAGACUGCCAGGCUAACCGUCAUACACGAGUAUCCUGUCCUGCAUGCAUCAGGAGACUCAGGGCUGCGUCACAAGUGCGCGCAUUACUGAGGGUGUGGGUAGACUACCACAGUCCCUGGAGAUGAGAUGCCCUUUUGUCCAUCAUCUCUUUGUGUACAGGGAGAGUCAUAUGGAUCUCUUGGGCCAUUAGCAAAUUGGCAGGACUUUGCCUAAUUGGCUUGGUUGGUGUUGAGCGGUAGCUCAAAAGAGCAAAGGUACCUUGGCAAAUCCAUUGAAGAAAUAUGUUCAUCUUGAGAGUGCUCCAAAAACCUCCUAAAGUGGAGGAUUUGGAAAGUGAUGCCAGUGGUCUAAUUGCCAUGCAAGACCAUCAAAGCAGUGGAAGAGGCGGUUCACCGUCACCAUGAAGAACCCUAAGACAUUCAAAACCAAGACAUCUACCAUCAACCUCGAGCCAUUCACCACCAAAUAUGAGCCUCUACCUUUCCUCCAAAGAGAGUUGGCCCAUGUAAGAAGCAAGGUUCCAAAAAAAGGGCUGAUGCUGCUUAGAUAAAAUAUCUGGCCGACUUCAUUGUCCUUGAACAUAAGAAAUUCCAAAUGUUGAAAGUUGGAUGGGUAACCCUCAAGGAAAAUAUCAAAUGGAUCCUGAAUAGAUUGUGUUUUGAGAAACCACGGGGGGACCCUGCGCCUGACAGAUGACAUGAACGCCAGGGCAGGAGGAACCAGGAUGGACAGUAAAUAUGAGAGAGACAUAGUUAAAGUUCACAUAGAGGAAUGUUAUGUUUUAAUUUGUCUGUAACAUACGUUAAGAAAAUAAGUUAUUUGUUCUAAAUGCUAAACGUAUUACUGUAGGCUGAAUAACCUGAUUGUUUGAAAUUGU